rnacentral:rRNA from 1 species
CACCAAGUCGACGAUCAGUAGCCGGACUGAGAGGUUGAACGGCCACAUUGGGACUGAGACACGGCCCAGACUCCUACGGGAGGCAGCAGUGGGGGAUAUUGCACAAUGGGGGAAACCCUGAUGCAGCGAUGCCGCGUGGAGGAAGAAGGUUUUCGGAUUGUAAACUCCUGUCGUAAGGGAAGAGAAAGGACUGUACCUUACAAGAGAGCUCCGGCUAACUACGUGCCAGCAGCCGCGGUAAUACGUAGGGAGCGAGCGUUGUCCGGAAUGACUGGGUGUAAAGGGAGCGUAGGCGGGAUGGCAAGUCAGAUGUGAAACCUGAGGGCUCAACCUUCAGACUGCAUUUGAAACUGCUGUUCUUGAGUGAAGUAGAGGUAAGCGGAAUUCCUGGUGUAGCGGUGAAAUGCGUAGAGAUCAGGAGGAACAUCGGUGGCGAAGGCGGCUUACUGGGCUUUUACUGACGCUGAGGCUCGAAAGCGUGGGGAGCAAACAGGAUUAGAUACCCUGGUAGUCCACGCUGUAAACGAUGAUUACUAGGUGUGGGGGGAUUGACCCCUUCCGUGCCGCAGUUAACACAAUAAGUAAUCCACCUGGGGAGUACGACCGCAAGGUUGAAACUCAAAGGAAUUGACGGGGGCCCGCACAAGCAGUGGAGUAUGUGGUUUAAUUCGAAGCAACGCGAAGAACCUUACCAGGUCUUGACAUCGAGUGACGUAUCCAGAGAUGGAUAUUUCCUUCGGGACACAAAGACAGGUGGUGCAUGGUUGUCGUCAGCUCGUGUCGUGAGAUGUUGGGUUAAGUCCCGCGACGAGCGCAACCCUUAUCAUUAGUUGCUACGCAAGAGCACUCUAAUGAGACUGCCGUUGACAAAACGGAGGAAGGUGGGGAUGACGUCAAAUCAUCAUGCCCCUUAUGACCUGGGCUACACACGUACUACAAUGGCGAUUGAACAGAGGGAAGCAAGACAGCGAUGUGGAGCCAAUCCCAAAAAAUCGCCCCAGUUCAGAUUGCAGGCUGCAACUCGCCUGCAUGAAGUCGGAAUUGCUAGUAAUCGCAGAUCAGCAUGCUGCGGUGAAUACGUUCCCGGGCCUUGUACACACCGCCCGUCACACCAUGGGAGUCGGUAACACCCAAAGCCGGUCGUCUAACCUUCGGGAGGACGCCGUCUAAGGUGGGAUUGAUGACUGGGGUGAAGUCGUAACAAGGUA